UGCGCGCCCGCCGGGUGGCGCUCGCCUGGCGGGACUGCCGCGCCCUGGCGCCCCGGAGUGGGUCCCUCCCCCCCACUCCCGCUCGGCGUGGGCGUGGACCCCGACGGGGACUCUGGGCUCCUGUGGACCGGUAGUUAUUAGAUGUUUAUGGAGCCCAGCGAGCAUCCCAGGAACGUGCUUCCUGCGAAGGCUUGAGAGAUGACAAGCCGCCGCCGGAGGACGCCGCCCUGCCGGUCCCCGCCCGGUCCCCGCCAGAGGCCGGGGUCUGGAGAAUGGCCAGGGACGUACCUGCGGGAGCACAGGGCCAGCACAGCCAGACCUGGCACUGGCCAAGAAAAGCGCCGCUCCUGUGGUUUGCACACCUCCCUUCCUGUCCAUGUGGACAGAACUGAGGACAGUCGUGAGCACGUUUUAUUAGUGGCUUAAGAGCCUGACGUAAGAGCAAGAACCCCCGGCCUGUCUGGGUUCUUCGAUUUACCUUCGUCCUUGGGGUAAACGCUUCUGGUUAAUCCUUUAAUCAGAACGCACUGAGACCAUUCCUUUCUGGCACUUUCUUGCCUGUCAGUGGAAUUGGUAUGGCCUGGCUGUCGUUACCCUGUCCUUCUCCAGCAAAUGAAGAGUGGAAGCCAAUUCUGCAGCCAGAUCCUAUCACUAUUGCCUUUACAGCGUUUUGCCCCGAUCUCCUCCUCCUCGUUGCCACCAUCACCGUCCUAACUCAAGACCCCUUUGUCGUCGUUCUGGUUCGCCAUGAUGCUCUCCUACGGUUGCCUCGUGUCUCCUUACUAACGCUGGUUCCAUAGUUGGGGAAUAACCCCGUGGCUAUGACAGCAUUCCCAAGGGAAAGCAGACAGAGAAGGACACGACCUUAGGAAUGGAACCUCAGGGAGUAAAUUAGCUGCUCAGCCCUCUCUCAGCAUGCCCUAAGUCUAAUUAAAGUCAAAAGAGUGAGGCCAGUAUGGAGAAAAGGACCCAGGAACACUAAAGUAAAAAUGUGGUAGGAGAGAGGUAGAAUUAUGUUAUGAUCAUGUAAAAAUAGAGAAUAAAAUAUAAUCUUGAAGUACAAACUCUAA